rnacentral:rRNA from 1 species
UACGAAGGGGGCUAGCGUUGUUCGGAAUUACUGGGCGUAAAGCGCGCGCAGGCGGUCUUCCAAGUCAGUGGUGAAAGCCCGGAGCUCAACUCCGGAACUGCCAUUGAAACUGUUAGACUUGAGGACGAGAGAGGUGAGUGGAAUUCCCAGUGUAGAGGUGAAAUUCGUAGAUAUUCGGAGGAACACCAGUGGCGAAGGCGGCUCACUGGUCCAUUACUGACGCUGAGGUGCGAAAGCGUGGGGAGCAAACAGG